AUGCUGGUAUUAUUAGCCAGCAUUCAGUUGUAACUCAAUAUUCAAAACAUUUGGUCUGUUGAGCAUUCCGAAAUUUCGCUUCUUUUCCUAUUUUUGUGUAAAGUGUGUAAGGAUCUAGCCAGACAAAAUGUGCUGCGGAAAUCCGUGCUAUCCUUGCGCUAUAUUGUGUGCUUGUGGUGGCUCUGGUCCUAGUGGAUUUUAUGACCCUUGUUUUGGGUCCUUUACUGGGCCAUUCAACUCCUGGUGUGGUCCAAGUGGACCUGCAUUCUGGGGAGGAUAUUGCUGCUAAGGAUCUAGCCGCUUUACAGAAGAAAAUUAGGAAAACACCAACUGUUUCUCCACUUUGUUCGACAGACCUAAAAUGUGUUUACCCAGAAAAUAUGACUCACUUCCAGCACAUUGUCCCAAUAAAAUUUUUUAGUUAACUAAAUA